GAAUCACCUGAUUCGUGGGUUUUCCUAAAGAUAUUUCAACAGGAGGCUGGAAAAACUCCGUUACUGCAAAGCUCCCUACUUCCAUGGAUGUCGUAUCAAGAUUAGUUAACCUCUUCAAGCCUGGUGACCUUAGAGCUAUGAUUGCCCAUCAAAUUAAUGUCAAUGGACUAAAGCGCUGACGCCAACUACGAAGAGUCUUUUUAGGGAAAAUGUAUUUACAUUCUGACACUAGGAGAACCAAAAAAUGUAAAGAAUCUUAUUCUCGAUUAUUAAACGAGACGAUGGGGAAUGGUCUAAACUAAGAAGAAGCCAGGUUUUGACCCAACACUUGUAGAAAAAAAGAGAAUCAGAUGUUUGUCAUCAUCUCAGUACGGCCGACCGGGUAAGAAGAGGGAUAGAGUUGAAUAUUGUAGCACAUUUCGGAAAAAGAUAAAAAAUUAUCCUUGAUAAAAUAUGUGGAACAAAUUAGAAACUCAGUCCAAUUUUUGAGUCAUAGGAGGAAAUUCCCCGUCGUCAUCCAAGCGAAGAGGAUUUGCCGGAGGAGUCUCCGUGGCACGCUCCAUAUCGUGGAACUUUUCAGAAUCUGUAAAGUUUAAGCAUUACACGGUUAGAUUUUAACGUAUCAAUCAGUGCGAUGACUUCGAUUGCAUUAUUACAAAUAAAGUUUUCCAAUGCAUGCAAACCCUCAAAUAAGCUGUUCAAAAGAGCGUAAAUACAAAUUGUCCAUAUGUUGUA